rnacentral:misc_RNA from 1 species
GAUGAAGAACGUAGCGAAAUGCGAUAAGUAAUGUGAAUUGCAGAAUUCAGUGAAUCAUCGAAUCUUUGAACGCACAUUGCGCCCGCCAGUAUUCUGGCGGGCAUGCCUGUCCGAGCGUUAUUUCAACCCUCGAACCCCUCCGGGGGGUCGGCGUUGGGGAUCGGCCCUCCCUUAGCGGGUGGCCGUCUCCGAAAUACAGUGGCGGUCUCGCCGCAGCCUCUCCUGCGCAGUAGUUUGCACACUCGCAUCGGGAGCGCGGCGCGUCCACAGCCGUUAAACACCCAACUUCUGAAAUGUUGACCUCGGAUCAGGUAGGAAUACCCGCUGAACUUAAGCAUAUCAAUAAGCGGAGGA